rnacentral:rRNA from 1 species
GGAUAACCUAGGUAUCUUGUACUGAAUCCAUAGGUGCAAGAGGCGAACCAGGGGAACUGAAACAUCUAAGUACCCUGAGGAAAAGAAAUCAACCGAGAUUCCCUUAGUAGUGGCGAGCGAACGGGGAUUAGCCCUUAAGCUUCAUUGAUUUUAGCGGAACGCUCUGGAAAGUGCGGCCAUAGUGGGUGAUAGCCCCGUACGCGAAAGGAUCUUUGAAGUGAAAUCGAGUAGGACGGAGCACGAGAAACUUUGUCUGAACAUGGGGGGACCAUCCUCCAAGGCUAAAUACUACUGACUGACCGAUAGUGAACCAGUACCGUGAG